rnacentral:misc_RNA from 1 species
GAUGAAGAACGUAGCGAAAUGCGAUAAGUAAUGUGAAUUGCAGAAUUCAGUGAAUCAUCGAAUCUUUGAACGCACAUUGCGCCCGCCAGUAUUCUGGCGGGCAUGCCUGUUCGAGCGUCAUUUCAACCAUCAAGCCCCCGGGCUUGUGUUGGGGACCUGCGGCUGCCGCAGGCCCUGAAAAGCAGUGGCGGGCUCGCUGUCACACCGAGCGUAGUAGAUUUUAUCUCGCUCUGGGCGUGCUGCGGGUUCCGGCCGUUAAACCACCCUUUGAACCCAAGGUUGACCUCGGAUCAGGUAGGAAGACCCGCUGAACUUAAGCAUAUCAAUAAGCGGAGGA